CACCAGACGCGCGGCCGCUGGCUGCGGGCGAGCUGAGCUGGAGGGUCGCAGCGGAGAAGCAAAGAUGCUGCAGGGGAUCCUUUGCUUCCGGGACCCAUUAAGGUGAGACCAAACUCUCUGGGCUGCUCGGAACUAGCCUCGGACUGUAAGACAACCAUGGAUAUGGCGUGUGAGCCACUCAAUGGCAGCCAAGGGUGGCUCUCCUGUCCAUUCGACUUCAAUGGUUCUGUGGCCGCAGCCAAUGGCUCAAACCAGACAGAGCCGUACUAUGACAUGACCAGCAACGCGGUCCUCACCUUCAUAUAUUUUGUGGUGUGCAUCAUUGGCUUGUGUGGCAACACGCUUGUCAUUUAUGUCAUCCUCCGCUACGCCAAGAUGAAGACCAUGACCAACAUUUACAUCCUCAACCUGGCCAUCGCCGACGAGCUGUUCAUGCUGGGUCUGCCCUUCCUGGCCAUGCAGGUGGCUCUGGUCCACUGGCCCUUUGGCAAGGCCAUCUGCCGCGUGGUCAUGACCGUGGAUGGCAUCAAUCAGUUCACCAGUAUCUUCUGCUUGACGGUCAUGAGCAUUGACCGCUACCUGGCUGUCGUGCACCCCAUCAAGUCAGCCAAGUGGAGGCGGCCCCGGACAGCCAAGAUGGUCAACAUGGCUGUGUGGGGGGUCUCCCUGCUGGUCAUCUUGCCCAUCAUGAUCUACGCUGGGCUUCGGAGCAACCAGUGGGGGAGAAGCAGCUGCACCAUCAACUGGCCGGGUGAAUCUGGGGCAUGGUACACAGGCUUCAUUAUCUACACCUUCAUCUUGGGGUUCCUGGUACCCCUCACCAUCAUUUGUCUCUGUUACCUGUUCAUCAUCAUCAAGGUGAAGUCCUCCGGAAUCCGAGUGGGUUCCUCCAAGAGGAAAAAGUCAGAGAAGAAGGUCACCCGGAUGGUGUCCAUCGUGGUGGCUGUCUUCAUCUUCUGCUGGCUCCCCUUCUACAUAUUCAAUGUGUCAUCGGUGUCGGUGGCCAUCAGCCCCACUCCAGCCCUGAAAGGCAUUUUCGACUUUGUGGUGGUCCUCAGCUACGCCAAUAGCUGUGCCAACCCUAUCCUGUAUGCCUUCUUGUCCGACAACUUCAAGAAGAGCUUCCAGAACGUCCUGUGUUUGGUCAAGGUGAGCGGCACAGAUGACGGGGAGCGGAGUGACAGUAAGCAGGACAAAUCCCGGCUGAACGAGACCACGGAGACCCAGAGGACCCUCCUCAAUGGAGACCUCCAGACCAGCAUCUGAGCUGCCUGAAAAAAUAAAUCAAUAAAACGCCAGCCUCUGCCAACCGGGGAUGUGCUCCCUUCCCCCACGCCUAUCCCCGCCCCUCCCCAUCACACCUGGCUUCUAGACUAGGGACUCGCUCAGCAUGAGUCCAACAGUGUCUGAGUCUGCCUGAGUGAACCAUACUAUAUUAGAUGGAUCACCUCCCCCUCCUCGAAGCGAAUAUUCAAUGCAGGCAGACAGACCCGAGUCUAGAGAAGAGGAUCUCAGCCUCGGGAUGAUCCCGUAGAAAUACUGCAAUGCCACAAAAACCGAGAACUCCACCUGUGUGUUUGUUUAAAGCCCAGUGAGUGAUCCUGUGUUCGUGCGCUGCUGUUGUGUAUUCCUAUCUAGACCCUGUGCGGUCGCUACCUGUGUCCUGUGUCCACGUGCUCCAGGAGGAAAUCCAAGUGUGUGCAGCCUAAGCGGACGCCUGGUCAGCGUGGCAACCACGGAAACGACUCACCGCAAAGCCAAAACAGCUAAAGCUUCGGGGGUCUCUCUCGAGGGGGAAGUGAUUCCAAGGGCUCUAGAAUUUCUAGAAAUAAUUUCAAGACAGAGAGAUGAAUUCUAUGGCACUUGUGGGAUCUGAGAAAAGUCCUCCAAAGUGGGGAGGGCCGAAGCAGCUCCCCAAAGUCUCGGGGGGACACGCACACCCAGGUAUAUGUUUCACGGCAGGAUGACGUGGAGUCUAAGGCUGCAAGACGGGGUCUCUGCGGGUGAUGCUGCGACUCUCCCCGCGCAUACAUCAGCUUCCAGGUGUGAGAGGUUUUCUCCGCUUCCUGAAACACCUCCUUCAAGGAUGAUUCGCUCCCUGGCUGUCUCCUUUCAUCCAGAAGAGCGAAGAAGCAUUUUGAUUUCCCUGUUAACACAAUUUUCAUUCCAAAAUUUAAUCUUCGUCUCAACUCAGCAUUGAGUUAUGAAGAUAAAUCUGCUGGAGGCUGGGGGAGAAUAAAAAGGAAUGUGUAGCCCUGGUCUCAGGAGAGGAGGUCGGUUAGAGCCGAUACCCACCGCGGACCUCCCCUGAGCUGGGCAGCGGAGAGCUGAUUACACCGAAGUGGACUUGGCGAGAGAUAAUAGGACAGGACUGCGGUCCCUGCUGAACGCUGCUGCCGGGAGCUGUUUCAGAAACCCAGACGGCUGGUUGGCGGUGGGGGUGGUGUUGAGACUUUGGUGAGGUUCAUGCCAUAGCUUGGGACGGCCUAAGAAGACACGGGAGAACACUGGGUGGUGGAAGCACACGCGUUUCCUUCCUCUGCUUGUUUUUUAUGGAAGAGGAAGGGGAAGAAGAGAAGUUGUGUAACAACUUUCUCUGAAUCUCAUAACUGCACCUCUUCUUAUGUUUGCCUGGAUUUACUUAUCUGUCAUCAGUGGCAUGCCGCGGAGAAAAUGCAGGCUGGCGGGUGGGAACUUCAGAGCUGGCAGUGACCUGAAGUCUCUUUACUUACACAGACGUCACCGCCUCUCCCUGAUGGGACGCAGCGACAGUGGCUGGGGUUUCCAGCUGCAGCCGCCGUGCAGGACAGUGCAAGGGUGGGGUGGGAAGCAGGCGGCUGCCCCUGAGCUGCCCCACAGUGGACCGUUUGGCCAAGACUGUAAAGUUUUCACGGGAGGCAGAAAUGAACUUGGGCAGAAAAAUCAAAGUGUCCACGCGCGAUUGGGAAGGUCCAGCCAGGGUUUUUCUGGUAUGGGUGUCAUCAGAAACGCCUUUGCUAGCAGGCUUACGUCAGCAGUGACUUACAUCAGUCACUUGGCACAUCCACAUUUUUACCGCUUUCAGAAACACUGAAUUUCCUUGAGUGUUUGUUCUAUCCAGGCAAACCUUCGCCUUGGUGGCUGUUCCGCUUCUGGCUGUGACUCCCCGGGAGCACAGGCAGACAGAGUCCCCCGUAGGCAGAGCCUCUCUUAAUUUUCUUCCAGGGACGCUUUUCUACUGACAGCUGAAAAGCUUGUGUAGCUCUGUUUCUUGAGCGGGCAGCCAUUAAGGCUUGAGAAUAACAUCUCAAGGACAAGUUUUCAUACCUCCCACCCCCACCCCCACUGCCACGUUCAAGGACUGCACACCUCAGCCUUUUUUUUAAAAGAUUUAUUGAUUUAUUUAUACAAGCACUGGGUACAGUCAGAAGCACGGGAGGGUGAGAGGAUUCACCAGAGCCAGAGCGGGGAACAGAACAGGCAGACUGACUAAGUACACUGCUGAGGGGAGCAGCGGGCGCAGCAGGAGAGGUCUGUGCACCAUGUGGGACCCUCGCUGGUGGCCGGGGAUCGAACCGGCACUGCAGAGGCUGCGGGCAGCUUCACAGCCCAGCGCUCAACCGCUGCACCACCAGGGGAGGCCCCCCACCUCAGCCUUUAACGCAGCAGGGACCCGGCCCUGGCUGAUGACCUAGAUGUGUCAGGUUGGAAGUGCCUGAAACACGCGCAAGGCCAGAGCCUGAUACUAACAGAGAUGAACAGAGAGGAAGAGAAAGCAUCGCUGAUUCUGAGGGCAAAGGUGAGCGUGAUGUCACAAGAUGGGCACCAGCUGAAUGUCCAUCAGAAUCGACUGGCCCCUCAGUCUCCAGAUCUAGGUCUUCUGAGUUGGGCCGACCCAGACUGAACACUGGCUUGAACUCUGGCCUCUGGUAGCCUCCCACUGUACAAAGAUUUUAAGCCUGAGAGGGCUGAUGGCUCCGGUGGGUGGAUGGGGAGGUGUCUGGGGAAGGGAGAGCUUCGUUUUCACCUCUUCUUUCCCGGCAUCAUUGAAGGGGUGGACCAGACAAGAAAGACCUCUCUGCUUGGAGGAGGCGGCUCGUCCAUUUCCUGUCCCAACAGGGAACCGGUUGACAAGAGCUAAAACUGCCUUGCCCUUUUAGAAGAGCCUGGAAGAAGAGUAUUUUUUAAAGACCCUUUGAUUGUCUGGUCCAUUCCUGCUAUGCUGUGACAGGGGCCUCUGAUCGCCUCCUUGGAGGUGGCGGCUUUAGAGCUGUAGAUCCUGAGAGAGGAAGAGGGAUGCACUGUGGCCAUCCAAACAGAGAGCGCUGGGCCCGGACACAGAGGAGAUGCAGCUGACCUAGGUCUUUCCCAAUGACAAGAAGCCAGAACAGGGGCCCCCGAGCAAAAACUGACAGUCUCGAAAGAGGAAGAUCUAUGUGAGCUCUAGGGUCACCUGGCACCCACUGGCAGGGCUUCCCUCCUGGCAGACUGCUGGGGCCUCCAUUCCUGGGUACCCCCACCCCCCGCCCCAGCCAGGAAAUAUAGUCAUUACUGGGCAAACUGAUAUUUUUCCUCGUGAGUAUUAUUUUUUGAACAAGAAACUCAAGUGGUUGUGGUAGAACAGUACCAAGCUUAAUAAUUUUCUUCAUAUUUAACCAGCAUCACACUUUUCAGGGAGAAACAGACAGUCUUCUGAGGCUCUCAAGGUCUCAACUUGUAUCUUUACUGCACUUUGGUUUUGGUGUGCGCACACACGAGCAAACACACACACACACACACACACACACACACACCCUCCAAUGCAAAGAUUCUCCAAGGCUUUUCCACAGAGGGAGACACCAGAUUUGACUAACUUAUUAGAAGUUUUAGGAUACUAUUUUUUUUUUCCACAUAGGGGAAAGAGAUGUGCAUGAGUUAAUUUUUUCACCCAGAGGAUUCUGUGCCAGAUCACAGACCCUGCAGGCCUAACCCGGUCAUGUGUCCCCUGCAAUAACAGGCCACCCAAGUAGAAAAAAAAGUGGAGUCUGCUAAAGGGUGUGAGUGGCCUAUCACAAGCCUGUCCUCCAGCCAACCACCUUCCAGUGCAUUCUACAAACAGCAACAUUUUUGCAUAAGAGACACAAUAUAUUUUCUUUAAAGAAAAUCACUGAAACUACUUUCCAAAUGAUUCUCAUCAAAGACAGAGUUUUAAUAGAUGUUUCUCCCCCAACCCCGCCCCAUGCUCCUUAAUACAAAUCUGAGGUUGAACACUUUUUGGGAGGCUAAGCUACUUGGUCAUCAAAAAAAAAUGUGAAUUGCGGUUCUUUUUCUCCAUGAGGACAGCUCCACAAAAGCACCUCUUCAACAUAAAGCAGCCCUGCUCUUGUCCACCUCCUCCAGUCACGGACAGACUUGGGAUACUUGGGGUACCGACAGCAGGUCAGCCUGUGCUUCUUAAGUACCUGCAGGAUGUGGUGGGAGGGCCGCGCUGCCUGGGCUUCUGUGGGGAGCACAGGUCUCAUAUGCUGGUACAUCCUCAAGAUUAAUUAAAGUUAGCUCAGGCCCAGCUGGGCUGCCAACCUGUGUCCAGACACUUCUGGCGCCAUCGCUGGGUGGGAUGAAGAUUCCCUUUGGGCUCAACUUAAAUGCAGAUUGAAAUGGCCUCGGAAUACCCCUUCCAAACUCCCAGGUGGGCAAGCGUGUAUAUGCAUCGUGGGCUUGUUCCGGGGGGGUGCAGACCCCAGCUGUGUCCUCCCUCCCCCUGCAUCUUCUCACACCCACCUUGCCCUUUCUCCAGUUCCCAGGGCUUGCCGACUGGAGGUGGCGGAAUUGCAACCUUGGCCAUACCAGGGUGGCCUGAGCCAGGGGGCUCUCUGCAGCCAAAAAAGGUGACCCUUCCCUCUUUGACCUUCAAAGGACCAUCAUCGUCCCCCUGAGCAGAUGCCAGACCCGCCUGGCUUCAGUAACACGGUUCUAGUGUGGGUGUCAGAGGGUUUGGGGUUUCCAGGGCUUCCUUCCUGCCUCCAGCACUGCUAAGGUGCAUCCUGAUGUAAUCAAGUGCGGAGUCAUCCCAGACAAGGCACGGCAGGGCAGGUGCUUCAUCCAUAACACCAUCUCCGGAGGUGGGUUUAACCUCUGGGGGUGCCAGUGCGGGGUAGGGGGGAGGUCCCUCUGGCCUGAUGGAGCAAGACAUGGUGGCCCGUGAGCAGGAAGAGACACAUCCUUGAAAUUUAAUACAUUAAAGUUGGUUUCCUCUAACUCACCCCUCUACUGCUCAAGCCCUCUCAUAUUUAUAUUUAAAUUUUGAAAAACAAAAUGUCCCAUUUCUUGAGAAUUCCACAAUGCCACGUUUAAACAGAACAAAGGGACACUUCGAUUUCAUAAAAUGAGGCUGAGAAUGGAUUGUGAAGCAAAGGCAUUUCAUCCCGGGGUGCUGACCCCGAGCCAGGCCGUACCCUCAUUCUCCAGCGAGAUCUCCCGCCUUUGGGUCAUUUCAUGGCCUCAGACAGAAGCGGUUUCGUACACAGCUGAAUGGGAGGAAAAGGUUCUGACUAGAACCACCAGCUGGUGGCCGGUUUCCACCCGGAGGGCCCUACCAGGGCCCGCAGCAGCCCCAGGCUCACCAGACCUGGUUGUCAGCGAGAGUGACAGCACCCAGAAGACUCGAGAGCCUUUCCCCAGGGGAAGUCACCAUCCAUGCUGCCCGCCGCCUGGGGACCAGCUCAGUGGGAAGUCAGGGUGCAGAGCAGACGACACUGGCUUCUGGAUGCUUCUGAAGAUAGUUCGCUGUGCGUUACGCCUAGAGUAUACUGGCUCCUGACUCAGUUAAUCCAUCUGUCCCUCCCCAGCUGCCGCUCACCAAUAAACAACAGCAGAUUUUACAAAGAGUCCAUCAGUCAUAUCCAAGGAGACUGGAAACGCUUCAUGGACACACUCCCACACACCGGUCACCCCUUGUCUCUUCGUAACAGAGCUGCUGACAUUGCUGGGGACCCCCCCAAAGGUGGCAGAGAUAAUGAAAGGGGAGCUUUUGUGUCCUUCCCAUCUGCCUUUGAAGACUUCCUGGACGCCUGGGACAUCUGAAAAGGCCUUUAGCAGCCCUGACUAUAAAGCCUGUGUGAAUGAUGUGAUGUGUGUGAUGGUUUUAAUAUGGCAAGAAUCAGUGUGCGCGUCCGCUAGAUAUUUUCAUUAUCCUAUGGCAUUCUGAGUGGUCACGCAGGCCUCGUAUUUAGAUGAAAUACCUAAAGCUUCUUUUGCUUGUAAAUAAACUACAACC